UUCUAUAUGGACGAACAGCAAAAGCUCUUAAGUUUCAAAUGUAGCCAACAGAUUUCCACAGGCCAUUGGGGAUGGAAAUAUCACGGAACUGUUGGAUCAGUUCUCAUAGUAUUUAAGCUGUCUUCUGAUGAACUACCCAGUUUUGACCAGGCAAUAGCAACAUAUAUUGUAUAGUUUGUUGGGAGCAAUGGCAGAGAUCAUAGAUGACAUUUUAGAUGGCAAAAAAACAUUAUGACACUCUUUCAAAGCUUCAUGAAUCUAUUUUAGUUCAGCCAAAUAUCAAUUCUGACUGUGAGAGAUCAUUUUCAAUUAUAAAGAAAUUUACACUGAAUUCUGAUCAGAACUCGACAAUGAUAUAUUGUGUGCCUUGUUAUCAAGUAAAUGUAACAAAACCAGCAGGUGUUUUGACUAUGUGCCUAGUGGUGUUCAUAGGCGGAUCCAGAAAUUUUCAUAAGUGGGGGCCCACUGACUGCCUAAGAGGGGGCCCGCUCCAGUCAUGCUUCAGUGAUUCCCUAUAUAAUCAACCAAAUUUUUCCCAAAAAAGGGGGGGCCCGGGCCCCCUGGGCCCCCCCUAAAUCCGCCUCUGGUGUUGCUUUAAAUUAAAAGCAGCAAAACAGACCACUGUUGAAUACAAUAAAAGUUUACAGUUGAA